GAUCUACCCUUGUUUCAUUGCAUAAAAUUGGAACGAUAAACAUUAGCAUGGCCCUUGCGCAAGGAUGACAUGCACAAAUCGAGAAUGGUCCAAAUAUUUC